rnacentral:rRNA from 1 species
UACGGAAGGUCCGGGCGUUAUCCGGAUUUAUUGGGUUUAAAGGGAGCGUAGGCCGCUUUGUAGGCGUGUUGUGAAAUUUGCCGGCUCAACCGGUAACUUGCAGCGCGAACUGCAGAGCUUGAGUGUGCGCAGCGUUGGCGGAAUUCGUCGUGUAGCGGUGAAAUGCUUAGAUAUGACGAAGAACUCCGAUUGCGAAGGCAGCUGACGGGAGCACUACUGACGCUGAAGCUCGAAAGUGCGGGUAUCGAACAGGAUUAGAUACCCUGGUAGUCCGCACGGUAAACGAUGGAUGCCCGCUGUUUGCACAUAGUUGCAAGCGGCCAAGCGAAAGCGUUAAGCAUCCCACCUGGGGAGUACGCCGGCAACGGUGAA